GAUUGAGAUGAUGAUAUUUUGGUUCUGAAAAUAAACAUAAAUGUUGACUAAAAAGUCAGACUACAAUUAUCUGAUCAUUU
rnacentral:snoRNA from 1 species